CUCAGUCUGGAAGCUGAGCAAAGGAGAGAAAACAUGAAAGGAUGAUUAUUAGUGGACUUCCUGGGGUGGUCCCCAGUUAGCCACAGCCUGUGUUUGCAGCAGGAGCUUGAUUGUCUGAUUCCAUCAGCUCUAAAGAAACUCUCAGGGAAUGUUUUCACUCUUGGAUUUGGUCUCAG